GCGGCAGGGGGCAGUGCUGGCCCUGCUAGGCGGCCGCUCUGCCAGGGCCCGUGUUUGGUUUUGUCCCUUUUGUCACCGCUUCGUUUUUUUAAUUAUUAUUAUUUAUUAUUCUAGAAUCUUGUUAGCACAUCUGUAGAGCUCUUCCUUUCGCGUUGCCUCCUGCUUCUGAAGCGCUGCUGCAGUUGGCGUUCUGGCAGCCCCUGCUUUACGAGCGUGACCCAAACCGCUGGGCCGCAAACGAGAGCUGAGCGAAACGCCGCCGGGUUCCUUCAGAGACAGAGACACCUCUCAGCUGUGCCCGCGGUGGGCAGGUGCUCGGCCCCGGAGCCCCGCACAGCACAGAGCAGCCGUGAGGGAGCACCGCGUGCAGAUCCCUGCUCACAGCACAGAGCCUCAGAAGGCUGAGAAGCGUCAGAAGUGCAGCUCAUAGAGGGAAGCACACAGCUGGGUAAGGAUGGCUGGGACAGGUUGGAAAACGGCCUCUUUCUUCCCAGUAAGUCUGUGAAAUUGUCAUUAAUUGUAGAGAUGUCUUCCAGUGUUAUUUGACAUCUUGAUAAACCGCAAACGCGCACUGAUAGGAAAAUGGAGUGGCUGAAGUGUGGUGGGUUCUUUGUCCACCUGUAAUUCUGUAUGCUAUAAUUAUGAUUUGACAUCGGUAUUUUCAAAUUGAAUCAGUGGGGAACUGAAUUGCUUGGCUCCUUUGAAGUUUCCAGGGAAGAAUAGAAUGGGGCUCUCUGUACUGCAGGGGAAUCUCCUUCCCUAUUGAUCUCAGCAGCUGUAUUUGGCUUAAAAUCAUGGAAAGAAUGUGUCCUCCCCCCACUGCAGCCCCAGGGUCAGUUCUGGCUGGGUCCCACCAGCCCUGCUCCAGGUGACCACCAGAGAAUAACUGGCCCAUAACUCUCCUCAGAAUUUUAGGGGGUUUCUUUGCCAGGCUCUCCAGGUCAGUCCUGCCUCCAAACUUACUGACAUUUCACUUCUUAUCAGUGUGAUUUCAGGACGGAUGAAACACACGAAUCAAAAAUAUCCUCCUGCCCAGGGAAGCAAACACAAAAUGCAGAUUCUCCUCCUUAGGAUGUUCAGCUAUGGAGAUGCAGUGAGUGCCCAACCGGCAAGGUGCCGCAGUUACCAUUCUCCAAAGGCAUGUGCAGAUUCAGUACAGCACUUAGCUUUAUCUCUGCUGGUGCCAAAGGUGUCUCCCACCGCUUUCUGGCUGUUUUCCCAAGCUGCGGGCCAGCUGACGGACAAACAGUGCUGGCUCCAGGCUUGUUUGCCCCUGAAGGACAGACACAGAUACUUCAAAUAUUUUCCUAAUCUCGUUUUCUCAUGCAAGCAACUGCUGGCGCUGUCAGGGAUGUCGCUCUGUGGCAGGAUGGGGGACAGCAUGUGGGAUGGCCAGAGAAGCCCCCAGCACCCAAGGGCAGCAGGAGGGAGACCACCCAUGCUGCUGGGGCCCUGCUGUCCCAUCAGGAUCCUCUGCUUGUCUCCCUAAUUGGUUCAUCAGGAUAAUUCCUUCCCUCCAGUGAGGAGCAUUACCCCUCCUUCCAAAUGGAAGCGCUGCACUCUGAGGUCACUCAGCCCUCCUGAGAGCCGAGGCUCAGAUUUCCAAAGCUAUUUCUGGGAAGGGCUACCAGACUUAUUUAACGUGGCAUAAAUAGGCUGUGCUGGGAGCCACUGCUGAGGCUGGUGCAGUGAUUCAGGGGCACAACAGGUACUGGUCAGCUGUGAUCCGGCCUGUGCUCCUGCUCCCCAGCCUUUGUCUUCCCCAGAUCUGGCAGAGGCUGAAACAUCCCCAUGCCACGUCUGCAGGUGCUCAGAAGUACCACAAAAGAACUCUAAGGAGCAGCUCAGAUCACUCUUGUCUGCUGGGAGGGGAAUGUGGGAUCCAAAAUGCAGCAAACAGCUGGGGCUGGGAAAGCGCUGUGCUGGCUGCCAGGGAUGCACACCAACCAUGAGCUAAUCCCAACAAAAAUAGGAGUGAAAUCAUAAUUCAUCUGCAUAAUUCAUGUGCAUAAUUUUAUCUUCGCUGUAUUUUCUCUAGGGAUGUAUUCUAGAAAAUGCUUGCUUUCUCCUCCCCUCUUGUCCUUCCAAAAAGUGCCAUACAUACAAAUCAUUGGAGACAGCGAGGGGUUGUGGCUUUGCUGGGUUACCAAAUAAACGAUAGAUUUCUCUUGAGCUCCUGGCCUAUGUCUUGGCAAGCAAUGCAGGUUGAAGCUGUUGUAUAGACAAGCAGGCUUGUAACAAUCACAGGAUUUUAAUUGCUUUCAUUGUGAACCCUGGCUGCUGAUUGUAUCUUUAUGAAAAAACUAACAGUUUGCGCUUGAAAAUGCUAAAAAUGUAAAACAAUAAUGGCAAUUGGAGAUAAUUAAUAGUUAUUCUGAAGCAAGGAUUAGACUCCAAGAAGACACUCAGAAAGAACAGAAAGCAUUGCCCUGUUUACUGCACAGAUUACAGCCUGCUUUUCACAUGAUGUCAGAUCUGCCAGUUUAAUUGCUUAAUGAUUUUCUGUAAAAUAUUUUAGCACCAUGAUGCCUUGAGCCAGCCCAGCUCUGCUGGAACUGCAGGUGUCAGCGCUGCUGGGGACAGUCACGACACAAAGCCCAGGCCUGGCACCAGGGCUUGCUGAGUCACACCCGGCCCUGCGCUGUGUGAGCCACCAGGGACACGAGGGACACAGCACCCUGGAACUCACUGAAAGGGCCAAGCUGUACCUGCCCUCAGCCCCACCGCUUCAGGGGAUCCUCAGCAGCACAGGCCUGGAUGGACCCCUCCAAACUGGCUGAUGGGCCGGGUCAGCUGCUUCUCUACCAGUGCUGUGCUGUGGGCUGGCUGCCAGCCAUUGCUGCAUUCAGGCUGCAGUGGGGCCACAUCCCACCUGCACCCAGACCCCAAAACCACCAGCAUGAGAUCCUGAGCUGGAAUAAAACACGUAGCCUCUUGCUCAUGGAAA